rnacentral:rRNA from 1 species
GAUGAACGCUGGCGGCGUGCCUAAUACAUGCAAGUCGAGCGAACGGACGCGAAGUUUGCUUCUCUGUCGUUAGCGGCGCACGGGUGUGUCACACGUGGAUAACCUCCCUAUAAGCCUGAUAUACCUUCGGGAAACCGGCGCUUAUCCCGGAUAAUCUUUUGAACCGCAUGGUUCAAGAGUGAAAGUCGGUCUUGCUUUCACUUAUAGCUUGUUCCGCGCUGCAUUAGCUAGUGGGUAAGGUAACGGCCUACCAAGGCAACGAGGCAUAGCCAGCCUGAGAGGGUGAGCGGCCAUGAGAGAACGGAGACACAGACCAGACUCCUGCGGGAGGCCGCAGUAGGGAAUGUUGCAGCAUGGGCGAAAGCUUGACAGAGCAACGACGCGUGAGGGAGGAAGGUCUUCGGAUCGUAGAACGCUGUUAUUAGGGAAGAACAUAUGUGUAAGGAAGAAGGGACUUCGUGACGGUACCUGAUGAGAAAGCAACGGCUAACUACGUG